UACGUAGGGGGCAAGCGUUGUCCGGAUUCAUUGGGCGUAAAGAGCGUGUAGGCGGCCAGAUAGGUCGGUUGUGAAAACUGGAGGCUUAACCUCGGAACUGCGUCUGAAACUACUCGACUAGAGUACUGGAGGGGGAAACGGAAUUCACGGUGUAGCAGUGAAAUGCGUAGAUAUCGUGAGGAACACCAGAGGCGAAGGCGGUUUCCUGGACAGUUACUGACGCUCAGGCACGAAAGCAUGGGGAGCAAAAGGG
rnacentral:rRNA from 1 species